GAAAAGCCGACCUCCAUCACUGGUUGAGAACCAUUGGAUCUCAGGGAGGUACACAACAUGUUCCUGUUCUGGUGUGUGCUGUGUGUAUCUUCACUGCAUGGAGUCUUGUCACAGGUUCAGCUCGUUCAACCCUCCUCAGAAAUCAGGAAACCUGGAGAAAGUGUGAAGAUUUCCUGUAAGACUUCUGGAUUCACCUUCACAGACUACUAUAUGAACUGGAUUCAACAGGUUCCUGGAAAAGGAUUGAAAUGGAUUGGAAGGAUUGACCCUGAGGAUGGGGGAACAAGCUAUUCCUCAUCAUAUGAAGGAAGAUUUACAAUGACAACAGACAAUUCCAUUACUACAGCCUAUCUACAGAUAGACCGCCUGAGUAUGGAAGAUUCAGCCACAUAUUACUGUGCAAGACACACAAUGAUAAAAAGAGGAGAUCUGUCAUACAAAAACAUAGAAGCAAUAUCAUCAUCUAACUGCUUGGGGGCAGCAGAUAAUAACAUUCAGCCUCUGUCUCUGAUAACAUAAAGGAAAACAUACAAU